AUAUGAUGAGAUAUAUAGCUGGCACCAGUCCUAGAAAGAUUUGUUCUCUGUUCAAUGCGGACUUGCUUGCAACAGGUCGCAUUAGUCGGCCCAACGCUCUGAU
rnacentral:snoRNA from 1 species